GGGGUCGUUUUUGGAAUUCGACAGGCUAUUUAGGGCAUUGACUGCGUUUCGCCAUCCGGGCGUAAAAACGGGCAGACAUUUUAACUGCAAAAAAUGAAAACUCUUUCGCAAUCGCUGCUUAAAACACAGUGAAGCGUAACUUGGCUUUGGUUGCUGGCGUCUGAAGUCAGGUCAUAGAAGGUCAGAUCGUUUGUGUAUUUACAUCUGGAGUACAUGAAUUAAAUGAAUCAGGUUAGUGUCUUGUGUGAGCCUCGUUUUGUGGCGUUACAGGGCAUGAAAAUUAAAUGACAAGACUAUAAGCGUAGAUGUUGAUGUACCGGGUGGCUUGGACAGGGGUUCGACUCCCCUCGACUCCACUA
rfam:Leuconostoc citreum KM20, complete genome.